GACGUGGGGGGCGAGCGUUGUCCGGAAUUACUGGGCGUAAAGAGCUCGUAGGCGGUUUGUCGCGUCUGCUGUGAAAGCCCGGGGCUUAACCCCGGGUGUGCAGUGGGUACGGGCAGACUAGAGUGCAGUAGGGGAGACUGGAAUUCCUGGUGUAGCGGUGGAAUGCGCAGAUAUCAGGAGGAACACCGAUGGCGAAGGCAGGUCUCUGGGCUGUUACUGACGCUGAGGAGCGAAAGCAUGGGGAGCGAAC
rnacentral:rRNA from 1 species